UUCAUAUCUUUCAUUCUUGGUGAAAGAGGGAGAAGUAAAAUUUUCAAGUCGUCUUUGCUUUUCUUCUGCUCAAGAGGUGCUUAAGCGGCCCUCCUGAAGAAUUUUGAUUUCCACAACAGGGUUUAACAACAACAGCGUCACCUCUUGGCUUACCAGAUACCUUUCUUCUUACUGCUGCAUUUGCUGGAACAACUUUUCUGCUUGCUAUGUUGCUUGGACUCUUCGUGUCGGAUACUCCAAAAGUAGUGCAUUUGAAAAAUUCGAUACGGAUGCAACAACGAUUUAGGAGAGUCCGAGCCAUAUAGCCUGCUAUAACUCUAUUGAAAACACUUAAAGUGGUUUAUGCAAAAUAAGAAAAUUUUGAACAUAUAUGGACCAGUCGACUUUCUAUCCUAAAUACUAAAGUUUUC
rnacentral:lncRNA from 1 species